UAUAGUAUAUGAUGUCAAAAUCAAAUAAAUUGUUAUCAUUAUUUAUUAAUUUAAUGUAUGAUAUUGUUGAGGUUGACUGAUAGAGGAACCAGUGGAUAAAUUUGUAAUAGAAAAAUAUUUUGAAAUAAGUACAAGUACAGGCAUAGUGUAUGAGGUCAAAAUCAAGUAAAUUGUUAUCAUUAUUUAUUAAUUUAAUGUGUGAUAUUAUUGAGGUUGACUGAUGGAGGAACCAGUGGAUUAAUUUAUAAUAGAAAAAUGUAUUGAAAUAAGUACAAGUGCAGGUAUAG
rnacentral:misc_RNA from 1 species